rnacentral:lncRNA from 1 species
GGUGGACGGACUGGGAAGCCAAUCUCAGAUAGGCUGACUGGAAGCCUGGGGACUGAAGGCAGACAGGAGGGCCUGCUGCAGUUCAGCUGACAGGACAGGGACGCUACUACAUUCAGUGCUGCUUGUGAGGAGGAGGGAGCUGAAAGAACAGCAACUUUCUUUUCUGUUUUAGAGAACCAGGAAAUCACAACGAAGCAGGAAGGAAAUUGCACUGCUUCGGGUGCUGAGUGUACCGAAUUAGCGGGGCUUCAGGCUUAAUGUAAAUUAACUGGAGGGAUUUGAUGAUUGGGUUCUCCCUGAGUGAAAGGGAGAGGGACACACAGACAGGUGGCCCAACGUGGUCCUCACGGGCUCAUGGGAAUGCUGGAAGCAAUUCCCUCCCAGCCCAGGAGUGACAUGAUAUCUCUAGUGAUCUCUCUGGUCUAUUUUAAAACUGGCGCCUAUCAUGGAAAAAAAAAACAGACUGAAGACUCCCAGACCUAAGGAAACUGUUCCUGUUGAUUGAGACUUAUUUAGAACGACAUCAUGGAUGAAGAAAUUUGUUAUCUAAGAAUACUGCUUGUUCUUCUGAAUUCUCACACAGAGGUGGUUAUAGGAAGGUUGAGUAAAAGAAGACAACAACCUACACAUGCAUAGAAUUAAGGGCCUGAGCUUUUACAGCUGGAGUACAAAUGAUUUCAAAUCCUGAUGUUGCAAUAAAAACUUUCUUUGAAAGCAGUGCUUUUGUUUUGUUUUUUUAUUUUUUUUAGUAUUGGAUGCUAUAUGUCACGAUCACUACUCCUCCUCUUAAGGGCGCUCCAGCCCUUCCUCGUUCUACCUCAUUCCCCACACCUGUCCCUUAUUCCAGCCCCUCUUUAGUUUAGUACACCUUAAAAGCCAGGCGUAGAAGUCACCUGAGGUUCCACAUUGAAUCACGUUUCAUGAGAGCCCGGGGUCCUUCUGCGUCUGGCUCCGUUAUAUUUUUAACUUUCUGUUCCUGAUUCCCCUUGCCGGUUCCAACCGCCGGUUCCAACCCAGUUCCUGUUCCCCCCCUGGAUGAAUCGCCUGGCCAUGGACUUCUGCCUUUGUUUCUGAUUAUCCGUUUGGAUUUCCUAUAUGGAUUGUUUGCCCUAGACUCAUUACCC